CGACCCCAGGUCAGGCGGGACUACCCGCGGAGUUUAAGCAUAUAAAUAAGCAGAGGAGAAGAAACUUACAAGGAUUCCCCUAGUAACGGCGAGCGAACCGGGAGCAGCCCAGCUUGAGAAUCGGGCGGCUGUGCCAUCUGAAUUGUAGUCUGGAGAGGCGUCCUCAGCGACGGACCGGGCCCAAGUCCCCUGGAAAGGGGCGCCUGGGAGGGUGAGAGCCCCGUCCAGCCCGGACCCUGUCGCCCCACGAGGCGCCAUCAACGAGUCGGGUUGUUUGGGAAUGCAGCCCAAAUCGGGCGGUAGACUCCGUCCAAGGCUAAAUACAGGCGAGAGACCGAUAGCGAACAAGUAACGCGAGGGAAAGAUGAAAAGGACUUUGAAAAGAGAGUCAAAGAAUGCUUGAAAUUGCCGGGAGGGAAGCGGAUGGGGGCCGGCGAUGCACCCCGGCCGUAUGCGGAAUGGCUCUUUCUAGUCCGCCGCUCGGCUCGGGGUGUGGACUGUUGUCGGCCGCGCUGGCGGCCAAAGCCCGGGGGCCCUAGGUGCCCCCGGUUGCUGUCGUCGGCACGGCCGGUACCCGCGCGCCGAAAGGCGUGUCCCUCGGGGCACUGCGCUCCAACGGCCUGCGGGCUCCCCAUCCAACCCGUCCUGAAACACGGACCAAGGAGUGUGACAUGCGUGCGAGUCGACGGGUUCUGAAACCUGGGAUGCGCAAGGAAGCUGACGAGCGGGAGGCCCUCACGGGCCGCACCGCUGGCUGACCCUGAUCUUGUGUGAAGGGUUCGAGUUGGAGCACGCCUGUGGGGCCCGAAAGAUGGUGAAUAUGCCUGAGCGGGGCGAAGCCAGAGAAAACUCUGGUGGAGGCUCGAAGCGAUACUGACGUGCAAAUCAUUCGUCUGACUUGGGUAUAGGGGCGAAAGACUAAUCGAACCAUCUAGUAGCUGGUUCCCUCCGAAGUUUCCCUCAGGAUAGCUGGAGCCCAUUACGAGUUCUAUCAGGUAAAGCCAAUGAUUAGAGGCAUCAGGGAUGCAACGUCCUCGACCUAUUCUCAAACUUUAAAUAGGUAGGAUGGCAGGGCUGCUUCGGUGAGCCAUGCCACGGAAUCGGGUGCUCCAAGUGGGCCAGUUUUGGUAAGCAGAACUGGCAAUGCGGGAUGAACCGGAAGCCAGGUUACGGUGCCCAACUGCGCGCUAACCUAGAACCCACAAAGGGUGUUGGUCGAUUAAGACAGUAGGACGGUGGUCAUGGAAGUCGAAAUCCGCUAAGGAGUGUGUAACAACUCACCUGCCGAAUCAACUAGCCCCGAAAAAGGAUGGCGCUGAAGCGCGCGACCCACACCAGGCCAUCUGGGCGAGCGCCAUGCCCCGAUGAGUAGGAGGGCGCGGCGGCCACUGCAAAACCCGGGGCGUGAGCCCGGGCGGAGCGGCCGUCGGUGCAGAUCUUGGUGGUAGUAGCAAAUAUUCAAAUGAGAACUUUGAAGGCCGAAGAGGAGAAAGGUUCCAUGUGAACGACACUUGCACAUGGGUAAGCCGAUCCUAAGGGACGGGGUAACCCCGGCAGAUAGCGCGAUCACGCGCAUCCCCCGAAAGGGAAUCGGUUUAAGAUUUCCCGAGCCGGGAUGUGGCGGUUGACAGCGACGUUAGGAAGUCCGGAGACGCCGGCGGGGGCCUCGGAAAGAGUUAUCUUUUCUGCUUAACGGCCUGCCAACCCUGGAAACGGUUCAGCCGGAGGUAGGGUCCAGUGGCCGGAAGAUCACCGGACGUCGUGCGGUGUCCGGUGCGCCCCCGGCGGCCCAGGAAAAUCCGGAGGACCGAGUACCGUUCACGCCCGGUCGUACUCAUAACCGCAUCAGGUCUCCAAGGNNNNNNNNNNNNNNNNNNNN
rnacentral:ncRNA from 1 species